UACACGACCGUACCGCAAACCGACACUGGUGCGCGAGAUGAGUAUUCUAAGGCGCUUGAGAGAACUCAGGAGAAGGAACUCGGCAAAUUGACACCGUAACUUCGGAAGAAGGUGUGCCUUUAGUAGGUGAAGUCCCUCGCGGAUGGAGCCCAAUGAGGUUGCAAAAAAUCGGUGGCUGCGACUGUUUAUUAAAAACACAGCACUCUGCAAACACGAAAGUGGACGUAUAGGGUGUGACGCCUGCCCGGUGCUGGAAGAUUAAAUGAUGGGGUGCAAGCUCUUGAUUGAAGUCCCAGUAAACGGCGGCCGUAACAAUAACGGUCCUAAGGUAGCGAAAUUCCUUGUCGGGUAAGUUCCGACCUGCACGAAUGGCGUAACGAUGGCCACACUGUCUCCUCCUGAGACUCAGCGAAGUUGAAAUGUUUGUGAUGAUGCAAUCUCCCCGCGGAAAGACGGAAAGACCCCAUGAACCUUUACUGUAGCUUUGUAUUGGACUUUGAACAGAUCUGUGUAGGAUAGGUGGGAGGCUUUGAAGCAGGGUCGCUAGAUCUUGUGGAGCCAACGUUGAAAUACCACCCUGGUGUGUUUGAGGUUCUAACCUAGGCCCGUAAUCCGGGUUGGGGACAGUGCAUGGUAGGCAGUUUGACUGGGGCGGUCUCCUCCCAAAGUGUAACGGAGGAGUUCGAAGGUACGCUAGUUACGGUCGGACAUCGUGACGAUAGUGCAAUGGCAUAAGCGUGCUUAACUGCGAGACUGACAAGUCGAGCAGAUGCGAAAGCAGGACAUAGUGAUCCGGUGGUUCUGUAUGGAAGGGCCAUCGCUCAACGGAUAAAAGGUACUCUGGGGAUAACAGGCUGAUACCGCCCAAGAGUUCAUAUCGACGGCGGUGUUUGGCACCUCGAUGUCGGCUCAUCUCAUCCUGGGGCUGUAGCCGGUCCCAAGGGUAUGGCUGUUCGCCAUUUAAAGAGGUACGUGAGCUGGGUUUAAAACGUCGUGGGACAGUUUGGUCCCUAUCUUCCGUGGGCGCUGCAGAUUUGAGGAAGCCUGCUCCUAGUACGAGAGGACCGGAGUGGACGCACCUCUGGUGUAUCGGUUGUCACGCCAGUGGCAUUGCCGAGUAGCUAUGUGCGGAAGAGAUAACCGCUGAAAGCAUCUAAGCGGGAAACUCGUUUCAAGAUGAGAUCUGCCGGGGCCUUGAGCCCCCUGAAGAGUCGUUCAAGACCAGGACGUUGAUAGGUCGGGUGUGGAAGCGCAGUAAUGCGUUAAGCUAACCGAUACUAAUUGCUUGUGCGGCUUGAUCAA
rnacentral:rRNA from 1 species